UCCGUAGGGUGCAAGCGUUGUCCGGAAUUAUUGGGCGUAAAGAGCUCGUAGGCGGUCUGUCGCGUCGAAUGUGAAAAUCCGAGGCUCAACCUCGGACCUGCAUUCGAUACGGGCAGACUAGAGUUCGGUAGGGGAGUCUGGAAUUCCUGGUGUAGCGGUGAAAUGCGCAGAUAUCAGGAGGAACACCGGUGGCGAAGGCGGGACUCUGGGCCGAUACUGACGCUGAGGAGCGAAAGCGUGGGGAGCAAACAGG
rnacentral:rRNA from 1 species